UACGUAGGGUGCUAGCGUUGUCCGGAUUUAUUGGGCGUAAAGGGCUCGUAGGCGGCGUGUCGCGUCGGGGAGUGAAAGCCCGCUGCUUAACGGCGGGUUGGCUUCCGGUACGGGCAUCGCUGGAGUGCGGCAGGGGGAGACUGGAAUUCCUGGUGUAGCGGUGGAAUGCGCAGAUAUCAGGAGGAACACCGGUGGCGAAGGCGGGGUCUCUGGGGCCGUUACUGACGCUGAGGAGCGAAAAGCGUGGGGGAGCGAACAGG
rnacentral:rRNA from 1 species